rnacentral:rRNA from 1 species
UACAAGACUCUCGGCAAUGGAUAUCUCGGCUCUUGCAUCGAUGAAGAGCGCAGCGAAAUGCGAUACGUGGUGCGAAUUGCAGAAUCCCGUGAAC